UCUAAGUUCCUUGGAACAGGACGUCACAGAGGGUGAGAAUCCCGUACGUGGCCGCCGGCCUUCGCCGUGUAAAGCCCCUUCGACGAGUCGAGUUGUUUGGGAAUGCAGCUCUAAAUGGGAGAUAAAUUUCUUCUAAAGCUAAAUACUGGCCAGAGACCGAUAGCGCACAAGUAGAGUGAUCGAAAGAUGAAAAGCACUUUGGAAAGAGAGUCAAAAAGCACGUGAAAUUGUUGAAAGGGAAGCGCUUGCAGCCAGACGUGCCCGCAGUUGCUCACCCGGGCUCUCGCCCGGGGCACUCUUCUGCGGGCAGGCCAGCAUCAGUUCGGGCGGUUGGAUAAAGGUCGCUUUCACGUAUUGCCCCUCGGGGUAACCUUAUAGAGGCGACGCAACACGGCCAGCCCGGACUGAGGACCGCGCAUCAGCUAGGAUGCUGGCGUAAUGGCUGUAAGCGGCCCGUCUUGAAACACGGACCAAGGAGUCUAACAUCU
rnacentral:rRNA from 1 species